AGUUUCUGAUUUGCUGGGAGUCUGAAAAAGUCCGGAGAUUGUUGACAUCAGCUUUGUCUCUUUGUUCAUGUGAGAUGGGAGUUGAAUGACUACGGAUUC
rnacentral:snoRNA from 1 species